rnacentral:rRNA from 1 species
UACGAAGGGUGCAAGCGUUACUCGGAAUUACUGGGCGUAAAGCGUGCGUAGGUGGUUCGUUAAGUCUGAUGUGAAAGCCCUGGGCUCAACCUGGGAAUGGCAUUGGAUACUGGCGACCUAGAGUGCGGUAGAGGGGUGUGGAAUUCCUGGUGUAGCGGUGAAAUGCGCAGAUAUCAGGAGGAACACCGGUGGCGAAGGCGGUUCUCUGGGCCUGUACUGACGCUGAGGAACGAAAGCGUGGGGAGCGAACAGG